CGCUAGCUACAGGCUUAACACAUGCAAGUCGAGGUGCAGCAUGGUCUUAGCUUGCUAAGGCCGAUGGCGACCGGCGCACGGGUGAGUAACACGUAUCCAACCUGCCGUCUACUCUUGGACAGCCUUCUGAAAGGAAGAUUAAUACAAGAUGGCAUCAUGAGUCCGCAUGUUCACAUGAUUAAAGGUAUUCCGGUAGACGAUGGGGAUGCGUUCCAUUAGAUAGUAGGCGGGGUAACGGCCCACCUAGUCUUCGAUGGAUAGGGGUUCUGAGAGGAAGGUCCCCCACAUUGGAACUGAGACACGGUCCAAACUCCUACGGGAGGCAGCAGUGAGGAAUAUUGGUCAAUGGGCGAGAGCCUGAACCAGCCAAGUAGCGUGAAGGAUGACUGCCCUAUGGGUUGUAAACUUCUUUUAUAAAGGAAUAAAGUCGGGUAUGGAUACCCGUUUGCAUGUACUUUAUGAAUAAGGAUCGGCUAACUCCGUGCCAGCAGCCGCGGUAAUACGGAGGAUCCGAGCGUUAUCCGGAUUUAUUGGGUUUAAAGGGAGCGUAGAUGGAUGUUUAAGUCAGUUGUGAAAGUUUGCGGCUCAACCGUAAAAUUGCAGUUGAUACUGGAUAUCUUGAGUGCAGUUGAGGCAGGCGGAAUUCGUGGUGUAGCGGUGAAAUGCUUAGAUAUCACGAAGAACUCCGAUUGCGAAGGCAGCCUGCUAAGCUGCAACUGACAUUGAGGCUCGAAAGUGUGGGUAUCAAACAGGAUUAGAUACCCUGGUAGUCCACACGGUAAACGAUGAAUACUCGCUGUUUGCGAUAUACAGCAAGCGGCCAAGCGAAAGCGUUAAGUAUUCCACCUGGGGAGUACGCCGGCAACGGUGAAACUCAAAGGAAUUGACGGGGGCCCGCACAAGCGGAGGAACAUGUGGUUUAAUUCGAUGAUACGCGAGGAACCUUACCCGGGCUUAAAUUGCAGAUGAAUUACGGUGAAAGCCGUAAGCCGCAAGGCAUCUGUGAAGGUGCUGCAUGGUUGUCGUCAGCUCGUGCCGUGAGGUGUCGGCUUAAGUGCCAUAACGAGCGCAACCCUUGUUGUCAGUUACUAACAGGUUCCGCUGAGGACUCUGACAAGACUGCCAUCGUAAGAUGUGAGGAAGGUGGGGAUAACGUCAAAUCAGCACGGCCCUUACGUCCGGGGCUACACACGUGUUACAAUGGGGGGUACAGAGGGCCGCUACCACGCGAGUGGAUGCCAAUCCCCAAAACCUCUCUCAGUUCGGACUGGAGUCUGCAACCCGACUCCACGAAGCUGGAUUCGCUAGUAAUCGCGCAUCAGCCACGGCGCGGUGAAUACGUUCCCGGGCCUUGUACACACCGCC
rnacentral:rRNA from 1 species